rnacentral:rRNA from 1 species
UACGUAGGGUGCGAGCGUUGUCCGGAAUUAUUGGGCGUAAAGAGCUCGUAGGCGGUUUGUCGCGUCUGCUGUGAAAACCUAAGGCUCAACCUUGGGCUUGCAGUGGGUACGGGCAGACUAGAGUGCGGUAGGGGUGACUGGAAUUCCUGGUGUAGCGGUGGAAUGCGCAGAUAUCAGGAGGAACACCGGUGGCGAAGGCGGGUCUCUGGGCAGUAACUGACGCUGGAGGAGCGAAAGCGUGGGGAGCGAACAGG